rnacentral:misc_RNA from 1 species
GAUGAAGAACGUAGCGAAAUGCGAUAAGUAAUGCGAAUUGCAGGAUUCAGUGAAUCAUCGAAUCUUUGAACGCACAUUGCGCCCCUUGGUAUUCCAUGGGGCAUGCCUGUUCGAGCGUCAUUUGUACCUUCAAGCUUUGCUUGGUGUUGGGUGUUUGUCUCGCCUCCGCGUGUAGACUCGCCUCAAAACAAUUGGCAGCCGGCGUAUUGAUUUCGGAGCGCAGUACAUCUCGCGCUUUGCACUCACAACGACGACGUCCAAAAGUACAUUUUUACACUCUUGACCUCGGAUCAGGUAGGGAUACCCGCUGAACUUAAGCAUAUCAAUAAGCGGAGGA